rnacentral:rRNA from 1 species
AUUGAUUAUUAAUUAAAAUAAUAUUAAAAUUAAUAUUUGGUUUAAGUAAAUUGUUAAAAAAAAUAUUUUUAUUUAUAGAAAAUUAGUAAAGUUAUUGAAAUUUUAAAAUUUUUAAAUAAAUUUAAAAUUUGAAAAAGUAAAUUUAGUUAGUUGUAUCUUGGGUAUCAGAGUUUAAUAAAAAAAAAUAAAAAUUUUUAUAUUUCUCGAAAAAAAUUAAGAGAUAAAAAUUAAAUAUUUAUUAAUGUUUCAAAAUUAUAAAUAAUUUAUUUUUUGAAAUGAAAAGUUAUUCGUUUUUUUUUAUAUCUAGUUUUAAAAGAAAUAAAUUAAAUUUAAUUUAUUAUUUAUAUUUAAGUUAUUAGUUUAAGUUUAAUUAUUUUUAAAUAAAUANANNNAUAUAUAUAUAUAUAUAGGGUUAAGCUUUUAUAUAAAUUUUUAUAUUAAAUAAAUUAUGUAAAUAAAAUUAUAAAAUUAAAAUUUUUUUUUAUUUAAAAUAUUAAUUUAUUAUUUAUUAUUUAUAAGAAUUAAUAUUUAUUAAUUUAAUUAAUUAUUUAUUUUUAUUAGUUUUAAAAAUUAUUUUUAAAAAGAAUUAAUGUUAUAAUUAGUAUAAUUUUUAAUAAAAUUUUGUUUAAAGAUCUAAUUUAAAAUUAAUUAAUUAGGCAAAAUUUUUAAUUAAUGAGAAUUAAAUUAUUUCACAUGUUUAACAAAAACAUGUCUUUUAGUUUAUAAAUUUAAAGUCUAAUCUGCCCACUGAAAAAUUUUUUAAAGGGCUGCAGAAUUUUAACUGUACGAAGGUAGCAUAAUAAAUUGUUUUUUAAUUGAAAACUAGAAUGAAUGAUUUCAUGAAAAUAAAACUGUAUAUAUUUUAUAUUUAAAAUUUAUUUUUUUUGUAAAAAAACAAAAAUAUCAUAAAAAGACGAGAAGACCCUUUAGAUUUUUAUUUUUUUUUAUUUUUAAUUAAUUUAAAAUUGAAAUGUAAUGAUUAUUAUAAAAAUUAAUUAAAAUUUAAUUGGGGUGAUUUAUAAAUUUUAAAACUUUAAUUUAUUAAUAUAAAUAAUUAAAUUAAAAAGAAAAAGUUAUUAAUUAUAUUUUGUAUGUUGAUUUAGUUUUAUGGAUUAAAAGAUUAAAUUACCUAAGGGAUAACAGCGUUAUUUAAAUUUUUAGUUCUUAUGGAAAUUUGAGAUUGCGACCUCGAUGUUGGAUUAAGAUAAAUUAAAAAUGCAGAAGUUUUAAAAUUUAGUCUGUUCGACUAUUAAAAUCUUACAUGAUCUGAGUUCAAACCGGUGUGAGCCAGGUUGGUUUCUAUCUUUUAUAAGAUUAAAAUUUUUUAGUACGAAAGGAUUGAAAAUUUAAAAUAAUAAAUUUUUAAAUUAGAUGA